AACGAACGCUGGCGGCAUGCCUAACACAUGCAAGUCGAACGAGACCUUCGGGUCUAGUGGCGCACGGGUGCGUAACGCGUGGGAACCUGCCCUUAGGUUCGGAAUAACUCCCCGAAAGGGGUGCUAAUACCGGAUAAUGUCUUCGGACCAAAGAUUUAUCGCCUUUGGAUGGGCCCGCGUUGGAUUAGCUAGUUGGUAGGGUAAAAGCCUACCAAGGCGACGAUCCCUAGCUGGUCUGAGAGGAUGAUCAGCCACACUGGGACUGAGACACGGCCCAGACUCCUACGGGAGGCAGCAGUGGGGAAUAUUGGACAAUGGGCGAAAGCCUGAUCCAGCAAUGCCGCGUGAGUGAUGAAGGCCUUAGGGUUGUAAAGCUCUUUUACCCGGGAUGAUAAUGACAGUACCGGGAGAAUAAGCUCCGGCUAACUCCGUG
rnacentral:rRNA from 1 species